GUUUUUCACGGGCAUGGUGAAGGAUCCGCGGUCGGUGUUCCAGGAUCCACAGUGGGAGAUCAAACCCACAAAUAUCGUUAAUGGUCGUGGUGAAGUGGUCGGAUCAUUCUGGCAUCGCGGUUCAUAAGCCGGAAUUAAAGCACAAUCGCCAUUGACCAUUGACAUCGAAGACAUCGACUACUAUCUCCACGUUCGACAACGUGCUGUUGGCGCAGCUUGCGCACCCCGAUUUUCAGGCAUGGGUUGUGCUUGCACAGUUAAUAGACGCUACCGGGGAACCGGGGGAAGCUUUUGUUGUGAGUAUACUUUGCGAUAAAAGUAAACCGCCCGCACCGGUUCUCCUCGGCCCGGUGUGUGAGGAAGCCGACCGGUUACGUCAACGCGCAAACAUUGAAACACGAGCUGUGCUUGCCGAUGCAGAGGCACGUGCGCUCGUGGAAGAGACGUUCGCACAAAACGCAUACCACGGAUGCACAAAAUGCACAAUUGAGGGUGUGAGAUUCGGUCGAAGAGUUUCCUUCCAUGAUAACACCGCCGCGCAACCCCGAACGCACCCGUCGUUUGUGGGACACGCAUAUGAGGGCACAAACGCACACCCACGACGACACCGUUGGAGCUGCUGGGUAUAAAUCUCAUUAAGGAUGUCAGUAUUGCAGACGAUCGGCAUGUGCUCCA